rnacentral:rRNA from 1 species
GGCAAGACGAGAGGGUACCUGUCUCAGAUGCUAGACUUUUGAAUUUCAUUUAGACGUGCAAAAGCGUCUUUAAUCUUAAAAGACGAUCAGACCCUAUGGAGCUUUUUAAAACCGCUGAUUAGUUAAACUAAAAAUUAAAUUUGUUUCUGGUAAAGGGUUUUUCGUUGGGGCGACGAGGAGUCCAAAGCAACACUCCUUUAACUGAAUAUACUUAAAUAAAAUGUUGAUCCUAAAAGUUAGAUUAAAAGACUUAGUUACCCUAGGGAUAACAGCGUUAUUUUUUUAGAGAGUUCAAAUCGAUAAAGAAGUUUGCGACCUCGAUGUUGGAUCAAAGAUUCUAUAAGGUGAAGCCGCUUUAUAAGAGGGUCUGUUCGACCUUUAAAUCUUUACGUGAUCUGAGU